rnacentral:rRNA from 1 species
GACGAACGCUGGCGGCGUGCUUAACACAUGCAAGUCGAACGGAAAGGCCCUGCUUUUGUGGGGUGCUCGAGUGGCGAACGGGUGAGUAACACGUGAGUAACCUGCCCUUGACUUUGGGAUAACUUCAGGAAACUGGGGCUAAUACCGGAUAGGAGCUCCUGCUGCAUGGUGGGGGUUGGAAAGUUUCGGCGGUUGGGGAUGGACUCGCGGCUUAUCAGCUUGUUGGUGGGGUAGUGGCUUACCAAGGCUUUGACGGGUAGCCGGCCUGAGAGGGUGACCGGCCACAUUGGGACUGAGAUACGGCCCAGACUCCUACGGGAGGCAGCAGUGGGGAAUAUUGCACAAUGGGCGGAAGCCUGAUGCAGCAACGCCGCGUGCGGGAUGACGGCCUUCGGGUUGUAAACCGCUUUCGCCUGUGACGAAGCGUGAGUGACGGUAAUGGGUAAAGAAGCACCGGCUAACUACGUGCCAGCAGCCGCGGUGAUACGUAGGGUGCGAGCGUUGUCCGGAUUUAUUGGACGUAAAGGGCUCGUANGUGGUUGAUCGCGUCUGAUGUGAAAGCCCCCGGGCUCAACCGGGGAGGGUCAUUGGAAACUGGUUGACUUGAGUGCAGAAGAGGAGAGUGGAAUUCCAUGUGUAGCGGUGAAAUGCGUAGAUAUAUGGAGGAACACCAGUGGCGAAGGCGACUCUCUGGUCUGUAACUGACGCUGAGGCUCGAAAGCGUGGGUAGCAAACAGGAUUAGAUACCCUGGUAGUCCACGCCGUAAACGAUGAGUGCUAAAUGUUGGAGGGUUUCCGCCCUUCAGUGCUGCAGUUAACGCAUUAAGCACUCCGCCUGGGGAGUACGACCGCAAGGUUGAAACUCAAAGGAAUUGACGGGGACCCGCACAAGCGGUGGAGCAUGUGGUUUAAUUCGAAGCAACGCGAAGAACCUUACCAAGUCUUGACAUCCUUUGACCACUCUAGAGAUAGAGCUUUCCCUUCGGGGACAAAGUGACAGGUGGUGCAUGGUUGUCGUCAGCUCGUGUCGUGAGAUGUUGGGUUAAGUCCCGCAACGAGCGCAACCCUUAUUACUAGUUGCCAGCAUUGAGUUGGGCACUCUAGUGAGACUGCCGGUGACAAACCGGAGGAAGGUGGGGAUGACGUCAAAUCAUCAUGCCCCUUAUGACUUGGGCUACACACGUGCUACAAUGGAUGGUACAACGAGCAGCGAACUCGCGAGGGUAAGCGAAUCUCUUAAAGCCAUUCUCAGUUCGGAUUGUAGGCUGCAACUCGCCUACAUGAAGCCGGAAUCGCUAGUAAUCGCGGAUCAGCACGCCGCGGUGAAUACGUUCCCGGGUCU